GUGAGGAAUAUUGGUCAAUGGGCGGGAGCCUGAACCAGCCAAGUCGCGUGAAGGAAGAAGGAUCUAUGGUUCGUAAACUUCUUUUGCAGGGGAAUAAAGUGCAGGACGUGUCCUGUUUUGUAUGUACCCUGAGAAUAAGGAUCGGCUAACUCCGUGACAGCAGCCGCGGUAAUACGGAGGAUCCGAGCGUUAUCCGGAUUUAUUGGGUUUAAAGGGUGCGUAGGUGGUUUGAUAAGUCAGCGGUGAAAGUUUGCAGCUUAACUGUAAAAAUGCCGUUGAAACUGUCGGACUUGAGUGUAAAUGAGGUAGGCGGAAUGCGUGGUGUAGCGGUGAAAUGCAUAGAUAUCACGCAGAACUCCGAUUGCGAAGGCAGCUUACUAAGCUACAACUGACACUGAAGCACGAAAGCGUGGGGAUCAAACAGGAUUAGAUACCCCAGUAGUCC
rnacentral:rRNA from 1 species